rnacentral:rRNA from 1 species
AUCGAACUCUGUCGGCAGGCCUAACACAUGCAAGUCGAACGAGUCGCGGUAGUGCGAGUAAUGUCUGUGACACCGCCUGAUGGAGUGGGAUAACUACUGUAAACGGUAGCUAAUACCGCAUUCCAUCAGAUGGGCCCAGAUGGGAUUAGCCUGUGGGUGGGGUAACGGCUUACCCAGGCGACGAUCCCUAGCUGUUCUGAGAGGAUGAUCAGCCACACGGGCACUGAGACGCGGUCCAGACUCCGACGGGAGGCAGCAGUGGGGAAGAUUGCACAAUGGGCGCAAGCCUGAUGCAGCGAUGCCGCGUGUAUAAAGAAGGCCUUAGGGUUGUCAAGUUCUUUCGGCGGGGAGGCGUUACCCGCAGAAGAAGCACCGGCUAACUCCGUGCCAGCAGCCGCGGUAAUAC